GGAGACUUUCAGCAGUUCGGGUGGUGAAGAGAACACUGGCAUCUACUGCCUUGGGAAGGCUGUAUGCAGGGCUGUCGGAGAAAAUGAUGAAAACCCUUGUGUGCAAGGAACGCAUGGUACAAAUUCCGCUGAGCAAAAGAAUAAGAGUUGCUGAACAGCAGCCAAGAGACUAACCCAGCAACAGCUGACAUGGAUACACGUCUUGUCUCCACAUUUGAAGGUGAAGAGAAACCCAAGUUGCCAGAGCUCAGAGGUAGGACAGCUGUAAAGCCUCCUGCUUCAGUUAAUGAAGUGUGUGGUGCUCCCAGCUUUGAGAAGAACAUCCAUCCAGAAUUUGAGCCCUGCAGUGCUCCAGGAUUUGAGGACUGCAUUCCACCACAUUUUGAUUAUCCCACACCCCUAGAGUUUGACUGUGCUCCUGCAGAGUUUGAUGACUGCAGUCUCCUAGGGUCUGACAACUUGAACAAUGAAGGCUAUGCUAUUACACCACGUCUGCAAGAUGCAAAGUCUCCUGCAAAUGCAGUGCAGGAGUUCAUUCCAUUCAGUAUGUUUCGUUCAGAAGGGGAUACACAGAGGACAAGUUUGGACAUUCAGACUAUUAGAUUUGCCAGAAAACGUGUUGGCAGGAUUGGGAUGAGAUUUGGAUUCUUUCCUUCUCUCUCAUCUGGCUUUGAGCUAACCUUGUAAUUCUGCUGUUGCUCAGAGAAACCUGAUUUUUUGCUUGCUUUGAAGAAUUGGCUGAAAGUCUGAAGAGAAAUCUCUCUGGAGAUUAGUUUGUUUUCCAGGGACAAUUCCUUUCUCUACCCUUUGUGUUUCUGAAGGUCUUCCAGGUGGACCCAUUUGGAAUCCCUUGGAAAACAGACAUAAUUAACCAUGAGAAGAGUUCGGUCACUGCAUCUUUACUUACGAUAAAAGGUGUCACUUUUGUACCUAUCUUGUGUGGUCCACACACUUGUGUGAAUGGAUGAGGAAGAGGGUGAACACCUUGACAGACUGAUGGACAUGAGCAGUUUGCCUAAGCCUUCAGAUAAUACAUACCAUCAAGAAAGCUGCAGUUUAGGCAUGAUUUUGAUGCUGGCCAUUGAGGUAGAGUCAGUUCAAACCAUAGAAGGGAAGUGUACUCUACCGAAGAUGAUGCAGCAGUUUUUGACGAGGAACUGCAAUCAGGAUAACUGCCUGUCUUUAAAACCCUUACCCCUCCAACUGUGCUCAGAAAGGAGAGGUUAGAUAUUUUUUGGAGGGGAUCACCUGCUAGCUCACAUUCAGGCUUAUCACAGCAAAUACUUGGUUUGAAGGCAAAACUCUUCAGUCCGCAGUGUGAGUUUAUGAGUAUUCAUGGUGUAAAAUUGAACUCCUAAUGGGUACUUGUUGGGAAAGAUGAAGAAGCUGCUUCAGCUGUUUACUAGCCAGAAUCCACUGAAUAGAGCCUUAGACUCACUGAGAAGCAUCAUGAUUUGGUGACAGUGAAUGACAUUUCUGGAGAUGCCCAGUCUGACAUCUUCUUUGGAAAAAUUAUGAUCUGAUGAUGACAAAGUGUCUGAAACCAGAGCAAGAAAGCUAAAAUGCUACUAAAAUUUUGAGUCAGAGGAUGGAUGGAUGAAGAUCUUAUUCCAAAUGGGCAGUGCGCUUGGAGCUUCCUCCUGCCUGCAGGGGGAAAGCUCAGUCACACUGGCAAAGUCCUGACUGCUUUUUCAGCAAGGCUUCAGUUUGCAGUGUGGCCAACAGGGGCUGUGCCAUCUGCGACAUGAGCUGGAUGGCUUUGUGCUGCAAAGAAACGUGCAGGUAUCUGCUGUUAAGCUACAGCAGUACAAGUACAGCAGAUGUGAGCAUGCAGCUCUGGUGAGGGAAGGAGCAACUGUGGCUGUGGACCUGAGAGCUGAAAUUUCCCAGCUUCCAUGUGUCACUACCAUUCCUUCUGAAACACUGGUUUUAUGUGCUCUUCUUAAAUGGUUUUCUAUGCAGAUGUAGUUCUACACAAGAUAACUAGAGCAAUGUCCUUGAAGAUACCCCAUUUUGUCUAGUUGAGGUACUUGCUAUAGCUUCCAGAUGUGUUGCUUAUCACUGAUAAAUGUCCUUUCUAACCACCAGGCUUCUAUAAUAACAGCAACAUCCUCUAAAUGGGGGCUGAAGUCCCAAACAGUAACCAAUCAUUGGAAACUAAGUGGAGACCAAGUGCCCUUAGAAAACCUGUGUCCUCGCAUGGACAGCGUGAGGAGGACACCUCCCCAGAUGACCACCGACCCCUGCACAAGCACAGAAGAUUCGGAUACGUUUGCAUAACCUUGUAAUUGCAGUAAUCUCAUGAAUAUGUAAUAGAUAGAUGCCUUAUGUAGUGGAUAGGUGUGUACUGAGAACUGCUGGGUUAUAAAUAGUGGAGAGUGCGAUGACUCAGAUCCACUUGAUUUGUGGAGAUUACUCACCUUGAGUGCUGUGCAGAAAUAAAGCAAUGUUUCCUCUCUAAUCACUUGUCUUUUCAAUGUGUUUCAGGACAUUUUGAAAUCGACAUCACCACCACCGUUCCUUCUUACGUGCUUUUCUUAAGCGGUUUGUGGUUCUGCGGCUAACAAAUCAACUGAUGGAUGGGAAAUCGGGGAAUCUCAAACAGUAUGAUACUACCACUGGUGCACCAGUGUGGUAGUGAUCAGUGCCUGCUGUUCUUCAGCUCUUAGCAAUCCCCCAUCAGAAAGGUCUUUUGAGAGGAUGGGCGAGGUAGACAGUUGCCUGAUGUUCUCCAUCUCCAAGGCACCUAUACAAAAAACCUAUUGGUAUUCUUUGAGUCCUUGAAGUACCCUUUCCUGAGGUAAUCUACACCAAGGAUGUGCAGAGCCUCUGGACCAGUCGCAAUGGGGUGUUUUUGCUACUCAUUCUCAGUCAGGCUCAAUUCAGACUCCACUAAAAUUAGCUCCUGGGAUCCCCCUGUCACUCCGGAGGUACAGACAGGUUCUGACCCUUCAUAACUUUAUGGCACUAGGCUCUUAUACUCCUGUGGUUCUGAUGUGCCAAGCCAUUGAAUCCGCACAGCCCAAUAAACCCGAUUGUCCCUUUCCUCCACCUGACUGGAGGCAGGGCCCUUCUAGUUCUGGUUAUUCUAUUCAUCAGUCAUGAAUGCAAACCACAAGGCUGGUUAUCAAACUCAGAAAUAAGGUCAGACCACCUACUCUGUUUGAAGAACUGCCCACUGGAGACUGGAGUGGUCAUUUUCCAGGAAGAACUCUCUUUUGUGAUGGCUUUCCCUCGCAACUCACAUAUCCAUACCUCUAGGCUUCAAGUGAGUUUUCCAUCCCAUUUCCUCAUAUCCUCUCCAUGGCCAUGCAGGUAAGACCACCGGUUAGCACGUGGUGUAUACCCAAUAUAUCUUCUGUCUUGAAUUAAAAAAUGCUUACUUCUGGUAUCUGAGAUGCUAGUCCAUGCAGAUAGGACAGAAGAUUUAUUCCCUUUGAGUUGUUGGGCCACUUCGGAAUGCUUCUCCACAGCUGAAACACAGGCCCUUAGAGAGAAGGAGAGAGAUAUUUUGCUGGAGUUCAUCAGCGAAUUUAUCCACCAUUUGUUCCUCUCCCUCUUUCCAGGUCAUUUCUGGCAGUGAGUUGGCAUACAGAGAUGGUGAACUCCGUACAAACUUACGCCACAUGGAUUGUGGAAUAACACAUCUCAAUUUUGGAAUAAUCAGAAGUUCAGGCCAAUAUUAUGCACCAUCUCCAGCACAGCCAAUUCCCUCAGAUACUGGAUACCUCUUUCCAUGGUGGUCCACUUGCCUGGUUGACAUAAUAUUGUCCCUGUAGGGAUACACUUCCUUCACAGCUGACAGGAAUUGCAUCUAAAAGGGGAGAGAUUUUUUCAUUUUUUGUAAUUGCUUUGUCAAUGUCCCCAUCCCUAGAGAGGAACUGCAGCAACCUGGCUCCCAUGCUCACUGAAUCCAGACUAUCAACACCACAUCCCAGCAUUGAAGCGGCUGGGUGACAGCGUGCUCACCUGGAUGAUCGCUGAAAUCUUUCCACAUAUCUUGCACAGGUAUCAGGCAUCAGGUGGUUAUUGACUCACUUAUAGCCUCUGCCUCUUCCUCCUGUUCUUGUGAUGGCCCUGGUAUAGAGUAGCCUUCAUCAUCCUCUUCUUGCUUCCUUACUCAAUGAGCUGACUUGUACUUCCAUUGUUUCUGCUUGUGCGGGGGCAACAGUUACUGGUAUAGGUUGGAUCUCCUGUUCAACUACAGGGCUUGUCACAGGGGUUGGGUCUACCACAGGGCCUGUCACAUGAAUUGGAUCUGAUCCAGAAGCAUUUUCGUAUUUUUGAGGGUGCUGAAUAGCACUGAAUAUUUGAUAGGUGCAGGCCAGACCACAGCACAGUGCAGUAAGCUGUUACGCUUUGGCAUUGCCAGGAUCAGGUCACACCUUUUUAAAACAUUCUGUCAGCUAUUUUGGAGAUCCAAACCCGCUGGAGGUGAUAAUCAUGAUAGAUGCCUGCCCGUGUCCUCUCACAUACCUUGCCACCCAAACCAUCCUGCCUCAGGAGAGAUCUCUGCGUGCUAUUUUUAAAUAGUUUCUUAACCAUAAAUAAAACCAGAAACGCAUACAGAGGACAUGGCAAUGAAGUCAUUCUAGUUUGAAUAUCCCAGGUAUACUCAAAAUUUUCAACAACUAUUUUAACUCACCUGGAGUAAAGAAUGUACUUGUUAAGUUUCCAUGAUAAAGUUCCUAAAGUGUGAGAAUGUGCACUGCUGAGUACAAGUACCAAAAUAAAUCCACAACCGGAUCGUGUUAUAACAAGAGAAUAUGCUAUAUACAAGCUGGAAACAUCAUAAAUAAGCCUAGACCAGCUUUCAGAGUGAUGAACAACAUGGCCAGAGUUAAGAAAAACAACCUUGAAAGUAAGUAAAAACUGCACUAUGAACAACAGGUUGAGAUAAAAACCAUUUACUAGGACAAAAAAAAAAAAAAAGGAAGAGAUAAAUAAUAGUAAUGAUGCUAAUUAUUAAAUAUACACAUAUAUUUACAAAACAAGUGAUGCACAACACAAUUGGUCAGCACCCGCUGACUGAUAACCAGCCAGUCCC
ensembl:lncRNA